GCUACUGGACCUAGCGGCGGACGGGUGAGUAAUACUUAGGAAUCUGCCUAUUAGUGGGGGACAACGUUCCGAAAGGAGCGCUAAUACCGCAUACGCCCUACGGGGGAAAGCAGGGGAUCUUCGGACCUUGCGCUAAUAGAUGAGCCUAAGUCGGAUUAGCUAGUUGGUGGGGUAAAGGCCUACCAAGGCGACGAUCUGUAGCGGGUUUGAGAGGAUGAUCCGCCACACUGGGACUGAGACACGGCCCAGACUCCUACGGGAGGCAGCAGUGGGGAAUAUUGGACAAUGGGCGCAAGCCUGAUCCAGCCAUGCCGCGUGUGUGAAGAAGGCCUUAUGGUUGUAAAGCACUUUAAGCGAGGAGGAGGCUUACCUAGCUAAUACCUAGGAUAAGUGGACGUUACUCGCAGAAUAAGCACCGGCUAACUCUGUGCCAGCAGCCGCGGUAAUACAGAGGGUGCAAGCGUUAAUCGGAGUUACUGGGCGUAAAGCGCGCGUAGGUGGCCAUUUAAGUCAAAUGUGAAAUCCCCGAGCUUAACUUGGGAAUUGCAUUCGAUACUGGAUGGCUAGAGUAUA
rnacentral:rRNA from 1 species